rnacentral:rRNA from 1 species
UCUUGGUUCAGGACGAACGCUGGCGGCGUGCCUAAUACAUGCAAGUCGAACGGUCUUUCUAUGGAAGCUUGCUUCCACUGAGAAGAUAGUGGCGAACGGGUGAGUAACACGUGGGUAACCUGCCCAUAAGAGGGGGGAUAACAUCCGGAAACGGGUGCUAAUACCGCAUAGUUUUCUUGAUCGCAUGAUCGGGAAAGGAAAGACGGCCUUUGUGCUGUCGCUUAUGGAUGGACCCGCGGCGUAUUAGUUAGUUGGUGAGGUAACGGCUCACCAAGACGAUGAUACGUAGCCGACCUGAGAGGGUGAUCGGCCACAUUGGGACUGAGACACGGCCCAAACUCCUACGGGAGGCAGCAGUAGGGAAUCUUCCGCAAUGGACGAAAGUCUGACGGAGCAACGCCGCGUGAGUGAAGAAAAGGGUUUUCGGAUCGUAAAACUCUGUUGUCAGAGAAGAACAAGUUGGAGAGUAACUGCUCCAGCCUUGACGGUAUCUGACCAGAAAGCCACGGCUAACUACGUGCCAGCCGCAGC